UACGGAGGGUGCAAGCGUUAUCCGGAUUCACUGGGCUUAAAGGGUGCGUAGGAGGGCAGGUAAGUCAGUGGUGAAAUCCCCGAGCUUAACUUGGGAACUGCCGUUGAUACUAUCUGUCUUGAAUAUUGUGGAGGUGAGCGGAAUAUGUCAUGUAGCGGUGAAAUGCUUAGAUAUGACAUAGAACACCAAUUGCGAAGGCAGCUCGCUACACAUAUAUUGACUCUGAGGCACGAAAGCGUGGGGAUCAAACAGG
rnacentral:rRNA from 1 species